rnacentral:rRNA from 1 species
UGAGUAACACGUAGGUAAUCUGCCCAUCAGACGGGGACAACGAUUGGAAACGAUCGCUAAUACCGGAUAGGACGAAAGUUUAAAGAUGCUCCUGGCAUCACUGAUGGAUGAGCCUGCGGCGCAUUAGCUAGUUGGUGGGGUAAAGGCCUACCAAGGCGACGAUGCGUAGCCGACCUGAGAGGGUGAACGGCCACACUGGGACUGAGACACGGCCAGACUCCUACGGGAGGCAGCAGUAGGGAAUCUUCGGCAAUGGGCGAAAGCCUGACCGAGCAACGCCGCGUGAAUGAAGAGGGCCUUCGGGUUGUAAAAUUCUGUUAUAAGGGAAGAAAGGUGAUAGGAGGAAAUGACUAUCAAUUGACGGUACCUUAUGAGAAAGCCACGGCUAACUACGUGCCAGCAGCCGCGGUAAUACGUAGGUGGCAAGCGUUAUCCGGAAUUAUUGGGCGUAAAGAGCGCGCAGGUGGUUAAUUAAGUCUGAUGUGAAAGCCCACGGCUUAACCGUGGAGGGUCAUUGGAAACUGGUUGACUUGAGUGCAGAAGAGGGAAGUGGAAUUCCAUGUGUAGCGGUGAAAUGCGUAGAGAUAUGGAGGAACACCAGUGGCGAAGGCGGCUUCCUGGUCUGCAACUGACACUGAGGCGCGAAAGCGUGGGGAGCAAACAGGAUUAGAUACCCUGGUAGUCCACGCCGUAAACGAUGA